GAUGAACGCUGGCGGCGUGCCUAAUACAUGCAAGUCGAGCGAACAGACGAGAGUGCUUGCACUCUCUGACGUUAGCGGCGGACGGGUGAGUAACACGUGGGUAACCUACCUAUAAGACUGGGAUAACUUCGGGAAACCGGAGCUAAUACCGGAUAAUAUUUAGCUUCGCAUGAAGCAAUAGUGAAAGACGGUUCUGCUGUCACUUAUAGAUGGACCCGCGGUGUAUUAGCUAGUUGGUGAGGUAACGGCUCACCAAGGCAACGAUACAUAGCCGACCUGAGGGGGUGAAUCGGCCAACUGGGAACGGGAAACCGCCCCGGCUCCCACGGGAGGCAGCAGUAGGGAAUCUUCCGCAAUGGACGAAAGUCUGACGGAGCAAUGCCGCGUGAGUGAAGAAGGUUUUCGGAUCGUAAAACUCUGUUGUAAGGGAAGAACAAGUACGUUAGUAACUGAACGUACCUUGACGGUACCUGACCAGAAAGCCACGGCUAACUACGUG
rnacentral:rRNA from 1 species